AUAUGAUCAUAUAGGAUUGAAAGGUAUAAUUUAACUAAAAUACUAUAGUUUAUUGUGCUAUCCACAAGGCUAUAAGUAUUUUAAAGACAAAAAUUAUGUUGAAAAUUGUAUGAGAUGCAAUUAGUAAAGAGUUACUUACCUUUGAACUUAUAGGAGCUUGUUAUGCUAUCCACAAGAUUUUUUAUGAGGAAUUGGGAUCUCAACCCCACUAAGAAAUCUCAUGAUAAGAUUUUUCGAUUUCACACUUGAGGGC
rnacentral:lncRNA from 1 species